rnacentral:lncRNA from 7 species
UUCUUGCCCUUGGUGCAGUUAUGCUCAUCUCUGGCAUCACCUCUGGUCACAACACUGGGAUGGACAUCAGCAAUGCAGUGCAGGAUCCUCCAACAGUGGGCAGAGGAGCGUUGUGAUGACCCUCCUGCCUGGCCCCAUCUCAUCAGUCCUGCAGUGUGUGCAAGGAGUCGUGUCAGCCUGCAGACUUCAUAUGGUAUCACUCAGUGACCACAUCCCAUAGCGCCAAGCAUCGUGCCUUUGGAGUGGAGGUGGGACAUCCAGCAGAAGAGCAGAGAAGGAACAGCACUGACAGCAGUGGCUGCUGCUCACAGCCCUGUGAUGCAGAUUUCCUGUUUGAAGCACUGACACAGCUGUGGUGCUGCUUGCAGUUAAGAGAUAGAGAUUGCUUUGAAUGGUGGUUGAGCAAAGCAGCACAAUGUGAAUUACUGUGGUUGCACAGAGACUGGGUCUUCUAUUGGCAUUAGCAGAGGUUGAGUUCUGGUCUGGAAGGCAUCCAGAGAGCACCUUUUGGCACGGGGACCUCCUGAUAGCUCAUUUCCCAAACAACCCCUGGCUGGGGCUGGGACUCUCUUGCCCUGGAUUCUCCCUAAGCACAGACAGGAAGACACAGACAGGGGCUGCUUCUGAGAGCUCCCACGCAUAAAGAAGUCAUUCUGGAACCAAAGGGUAAUUCCGGCUCUUGCUGUGAACUGCUCACACCACAAAUAUCUUCUCAUUAUCAGCGACUUGUCCCAUACGUCUGCUGCAUAGAUUGUCUUGUAGCAUUUCCUUUCUUCUGAGAUGUCUGUAUAUUCCUUUUCGUGCCGUGAGAUUCAGUG